AUUGAACGCUGGCGGCAGGCUUAACACAUGCAAGUCGAGCGGGGGAAGGUAGCUUGCUACUGGACCUAGCGGCGGACGGGUGAGUAAUGCUUAGGAAUCUGCCUAUUAGUGGGGGACAACAUCUCGAAAGGGAUGCUAAUACCGCAUACGUCCUACGGGAGAAAGCAGGGGAUCUUCGGACCUUGCGCCAAUAGGUGAGCCUAAGUCGGAUUAGCUAGUUGGUGGGGUAAAGGACUACCAAGGCGACGAUCUGUAGCGGGUCUGAGAGGAUGAUCCGCCACACUGGGACUGAGACACGGCCCAGACUCCUACGGGAGGCAGCAGUGGGGAAUAUUGGACAAUGGGGGGAACCCUGAUCCAGCCAUGCCGCGUGUGUGAAGAAGGCCUUAUGGUUGUAAAGCACUUUAAGCGAGGAGGAGGCUACUCUAGUUAAUACCUAGGGAUAGUGGACGUUACUCGCAGAAUAAGCACCGGCUAACUCUGUGCCAGCCGCCGCGGUAA
rnacentral:rRNA from 1 species